AAAAGGACAUGAAGCUGAGCAAGCAAUACUAAAUAGGGCAACUAGUCCUCAAACUGGUGGUCAGCAAACAGGGGGAAGUUUGAAAUCAAUGAAAGAGAAAUCCAAUCAGCCAGAAAAAGAAGUGCAGGAGGCUUCUGGCUUAAAGACUGCCGGUCCCGAAGGAGAAAUAACUGCAGGUUUUUUGUUAAAGAAAAGUGCAAAAAAUGAUGGAUGGAGCAAGCUAUGGUUUGUUUUGAAUGAAAAGACUGGGAAGCUUGGUUACACAAAAAAGCAAGAGGAGAGACAUUUUCGUGGUGUCAUCCCAUUGGAGGAAUGCAAUAUUGAAGAGGUUUCAGACGAGGAAGAGCCUCCCUUAAAGAGUUCAAAGGAUAAAAAGGCCAAUG
rnacentral:misc_RNA from 1 species